AUUGAACGCUGGCGGCAUGCCUUACACAUGCAAGUCGAACAGCAGCACGGGUGCUUGCACCUGGUGGCGAGUGGCGGACGGGUGAGUAAUACAUCGGAACGUACCUUAUCGUGGGGGAUAACGCAGCGAAAGUUGCGCUAAUACCGCAUACGCCCUGAGGGGGAAAGCGGGGGACCGUAAGGCCUCGCGCGAUUAGAGCGGCCGAUGUCUGAUUAGCUUGUUGGUGAGGUAAAAGCUCACCAAGGCGAUGAUCAGUAGCUGGUCUGAGAGGACGAUCAGCCACACUGGGACUGAGACACGGCCCAGACUCCUACGGGAGGCAGCAGUGGGGGAUUUUGGACAAUGGGGGCAACCCUGAUCCAGCAAUGCCGCGUGAGUGAAGAAGGCCUUCGGGUUGUAAAGCUCUUUUGUCAGGGAAGAAACAGCAGCUCUAACACAGUCUGCGAAUGACGGUACCUGAAGAAUAAGCACCGGCUAACUACGUGCCAGCCGCCGCGGUAA
rnacentral:rRNA from 1 species